ensembl:lncRNA
AUGCUUAAUGAUGGCGCUCUUAAAAAUGUGAACAGACAAAUUAUUUCUCACACACACAUAUUGUGUUGGACCCUCGCUUGUAACCUCCUGAAGUGUGUAUCAACAGCAAUAACAGCUGCUUUAAAUGGAAUUCAUAAGUCCAGCAGAUUCAUGAGGUGAAUAGCAGUACAUGCAGAGAGCUGUUAUGAGGAGAGAUGGAUUAAAGACAAGCAUGUGGAGAGUGGAUUGAAAGGCAGUUCUCAUCACCGUUAACUUUCUCUAAUGUACUGCCAUCAAAAGCCUUUCACUUGCGCAUCACAUGUGAAAUCACUCUCUGUGCACUGACUCCCUGCAUCUGUGGAAGAUAAAUCUAAGAGACAUUUUCAUAUCGCUUAUUGCACGUUGUAAGAUGUUACAACUAAAAGAAUUACAAGAAAAAUCACAGAGCAAGGACAACAGAAAGAAUCAGAAGUGAUUAGUGAUAAGUUAAAAUAGCUUGUCCCUGUGUUUUAGGAAUCAAAAGCAUUGUAAUUAGUUUUCUGAAGAGUAUAAUGUAUGCUUUGCUUUCAUCUGGUUGAAAAAGAAAGAAAGAAAAAAGAGACAUUUUCUAUCAAAUCAAACUAACUAACUGUAAAAUUAAAAAAGAAAAGAAAAAGAAAUUGGUGUAAUUUUAAUCAAUAAAAAUAUUAUAUUAAAGAACCAAUAUCUGCAUAUCUAUACAGAUUUAUUUGAUGAAAAAGAAUGUAACAACUAUAAUAUUGUGAAUGUUAUAAUAAUAAUAAUAAUAAUAAUAAUAAUAAUAAUAAAACAUUUAUAUUUUAAUAUUUUUUUUUAAUAUAUAAUUUAUUUCAGUGAUGGCAAAGCUUAAUUUUCAGCAGCCAUUAGUCUUCAGUGUCACAUGAUCCUUCAUAAAUUAUUCUAAUAUGCUCCUUUGAUGCUCAAGAAAUAUUUCUUAUUAUUAUCAAUGUUGAAAACAGUUUUGCUGCUGAAUAUUUUGGAAGCUGAUGCAUUUUUCAGGAUUCAUUGAUAAAUAGAAAGUUCAAAAGAACAUUAUUUAUUUGAAAAAUAAAAGAAUGAAAUAAAAAUGUUUGUACCAUUAUGUUACGUUAUCACAUUUCACAGGAAUUUUACAAAACAGUUUACUAAAUUUUAGUCAACUGUAUUAAACAAGACCAAAUACUGAUAAAGAUUAAGGUUUAUUUACUGUAUUUAUUCUGCAGUGAAUAUGAAACCAUUAAUUAAGUUGCUACAGAUUGCUUUAUUUUUUGUGCUUUCUUAUUUUCUAUAUACAUAUGAAUGAGGUUAUAAAGUUCAUAAAUGAGUGUGUGCAAUUCCCAUGUGCAUGAGUGACACUGUUUGAACUCAUUGUUUUCUUUAUGACGCCAAUUAAACACACACAUGUACUCAAACAGAGGUUACUUCUAUGCAAUUCUAUGAGGUUCACUCUUUUUAAAGGCGGAAAACAAGCCUAUGUACACACUCUUAAUCUGCAGGCGGUUAGAUACAGCAGACCUGUUGCUUGCUAAUGGAAGCCCAGUCACGCGGUAUAGAGUUACACAGUGAUGUGCUUUGUUAAAAAAGAGACACACUUGUUCUCCUCUGAGAGAGAGGAAGGUACACACUCAUACUCACAAACACACACAGAGACUCCUUGGGGGGACCUGGCAGGGGGCCACUCAGUGAACAAAACGUACUAGGUGACAUAAGACAAGCCUGAGGUGAGCUUUUUAUAAACUAGAACAUGGCAGGCAAAUGGAGCAGUUCACCAAAACAAGACCAUUGGGAGUGAGUGAAAGAAAGAGGUCUCUGUCGUCUCCUUUGAGCUCACUGUGUUCUCACUGAAAUUCUAAAGUGUGAUGUGAACGAAUGGUAAAAUACAGGCAAAAGUCAUGUGAUUCAGGGUCUUGCAUUGCUGGAACUGCCCUGUCGCUCUGUCAGGUUCACAACCGAACAGAUCAAAAUGACAGACUAAUUUGGAGUAAACAAUUCACAGAUUCUCACAUUACCGUGUUCAGUCACAUCUGAAUCAUGGCACCUGCUGUGUUUACCGAGGAUUUGAUGACUAAUGGUCUGAAAAGAAGGUGAUAAGAACUGACUCGAGACUCCAAAUUGGAGACUUACGAGCAAUACUGAGUCUUUAGGUCUCAGAAUAGUGACAUUGUUAUAGAGGUAAUUCACUGCUGGAAAGAUAGGCUUUUAAUAAUACUUGGCUGUCUUUGCAACAAGCAGAAAAGCAUUUUUAUUUUAAACUGGUUCUUUAUUAUUAAAGAAAACAGAUCUGUAGUUUAACAAAAGGCCCAGAGCUUUCAGUAAUGUCAUUCGGUGGACUUUGCUGACUAAUAAAUGAGGAGAUUGGAGUGCAGGUGUUAUACAGACAGUGUAUAAAUAGAAAGCUUUGUAAAAAUCUGCGGACCUGUCAUUUAAGUUCAAAGGAAGAAUCCAAGAGAGAUGAAAUACAAGAGAGGACUUUUCAUUGUUUGUAUUACUCUGUUUGUGUGUUCCAGGCAGGAUAUCAGUGUGUGACAGUAUGGCGAUUUUUCAGUAUAUGUUUCUGCAAGCUACAUCGAUACACCAGUAGGCAACAAGUGAUGCUUUAUGAGUAAGUAAUUAGCUAUGAUUAUUAUUUAUUUAAUUAUUAUUUAUUUAAAUAAUCGAUUUAUAAUUGGACAAUAUAAUUGAAAAUUAUGCAAUCCAUUUCUACCACAUAAGGAGGAAAAUCAUGCUUUGGGUAAAUCAUAAUUAGAAGAUAAAAAGUCA